rnacentral:rRNA from 1 species
CGGAGUUAGUGGCGGACGGGUGAGUAACACGUGGGAACGUGCCUUUUGGUUCGGAACAACACGGGGAAACCUGUGCUAAUACCGGAUAAGUCCUAACGGAGAAAGUUUUAAUGCCAAAAGAUGAGCCCGCAUUUGAUUAGCUAGUUGGUAAGGUAAAAGCUUACCAAGGCGACAAUCAAUAGCUGAUUUGAGAGGAUGAUCAGCCACACUGGGACUGAGACACGGUCCAGACUCC